AUUUGUGGAUCUAUUUUUAAGCUACCAGGAAUCCGUGUGAAGCGAAAUUUAAUGUGCUCAACAUCGCAGAGUAUACUUAGUCUCUGACUGCAAGUAGAUGGAUGCUACAUUCUCUUCCCACUUCAUCCCUGCUUGUCGGACGGGUUGGGCCUGGACUGACUCCUCUCCUCAGACAGACCCCAUGGGCAGCAGUGCUGAUUUGGGGCAGUUUCCUGAAAUUGCAGCAUGGACCAAAUCACAGGCUUUGGACUGCACCACUCAUUGCCUGGAGGAACCUUCCUUCACUGGGCUAAACUUCAGCUUCCCAGCUAUGAGACGGGAUCGCCUCUCCCUUCCUCUGUGUGAUGCUGUGCGGAUUCAACAGGCUGUAAAUGUGUGAAGCACCAGCACACAUUAGACGCUCCAUACAUGCUCUAGAACUUUCUCUUACCCUGUGCAGGCAAGAUCUGCUUUCUACCAUAGUGCACUGCGCUAUCCAUACAACAAGGAUAAGAAUACGUAUUGUACUCAGUUAUGAGAAGUAAAAUAUCUAGAAAUUACUCAAUUAUUGCUAGAUGCAUCCCGAUCCAGCCCUCCCCCUUGACACCAAGUAGUUAGGCAGGAACCCACGACACAGA
rnacentral:lncRNA from 1 species